GACGAACGCUGGCGGCGCGCUUAACACAUGCAAGUCGAACGGAAAGGCCUGCUUUCCCUUGUGGAUUGCGGGUACUCGAGUGGCGAACGGGUGAGUAACACGUGAGUGAUCUGCCCCCAACUUGGGUAUAAGCCUGGGAAACUGGGUCUAAUUCCCGAUAGGACUGCAGGGUGGUGCCUGUGGUGGAAAACGAUUUUCUAGUGGUUGGGGAUGAGCUCGCGGCCUAUCAGCUUGUUGGUGGGGUAAUGGCCUACCAAGGCGGCGACGGGUAGCCGGCCUGAGGGGGCGGACCGCGACAUUGAGGAUGAGAUACGGCCCAGGCUCCUACGGGAGGCAGAAGUGGGGAAUAUUGGAAGAUGGGGGGAAGCCUGAUGCAGGGACGCAGGGUGGGUGAUGACGGGCUUCGGGUUGUAAACUGCUUUCGACGGCGAGGAAGCCACCUGGUUGGGAGGGUGGUGACGGUAGUGGUAGAAGAAGCACCGGCUAACUACGUG
rnacentral:rRNA from 1 species